rfam:Gossypium raimondii Chr13_contig_77, whole genome shotgun sequence.
UGUUAAAAAUUUAAUCCAUUUUUACUAUUAAAAAUUGGCAUGGUUAACGAAAUAACCUGACAAUGACACGUGGCUGGUCAUGUGUAACUCAUAUUGACGUAUAGGGACCAGUUUUUAACAGUAGAAAUGGAUGGAAAUUUUAACA